rnacentral:rRNA from 1 species
UACGUAGGGGGCAAGCGUUGUCCGGAUUUAUUGGGCGUAAAGAGCUCGUAGGUGGUUCGGUAAGUCGGAUGUGAAAUCUCCAGGCUCAACCUGGAGGGGGUCAUUCGAUACUGCCGUGACUAGAGGUCGGUAGGGGAGUGUGGAAUUCCUGGUGGAGCGGUGAAAUGCGCAGAUAUCAGGAGGAACACCCGUAGCGAAGGCGGCACUCUGGGCCGAUACUGACACUGAGGAGCGAAAAGCGUGGGGGAGCGAACAGG